GACGAACGCUGGCGGCGUGCCUAAUACAUGCAAGUAGAACGCACAGUUUAUACCGUAGCUUGCUACACCAUAAACUGUGAGUUGCGAACGGGUGAGUAACGCGUAGGUAACCUGCCUGGUAGCGGGGGAUAACUAUUGGAAACGAUAGCUAAUACCGCAUAAUAUUGAUUAUUGCAUGAUAAUUGAUUGAAAGAUGCUAUUGCAUCACUACCAGAUGGACCUGCGUUGUAUUAGCUAGUAGGUGAGGUAACGGCUCACCUAGGCGACGAUACAUAGCCGACCUGAGAGGGGGAUAGGCCACACUGGGACUGAGACACGGCCCAGACUCCUACGGGAGGCAGCAGUAGGGAAUCUUCGGCAAUGGACGAAAGUCUGACCGAGCAACGCCGCGUGAGUGAAGAAGGUUUUCGGAUCGUAAAGCUCUGUUGUAAGAGAAGAACGGGUGUGAGAGUGGAAAGUUCACACUGUGACGGUAUCUUACCAGAAAGGGACGGCUAACUACGUG
rnacentral:rRNA from 1 species